rnacentral:rRNA from 1 species
GACGAACGCUGGCGGCGUGCUUAACACAUGCAAGUCGAACGGAGCGAAUGAAAGCUUGCUUUUAUGAGCUUAGUGGCAAACGGGUGAGUAACACGUAGACAACCUGCCGAUCAGAUGGGGACAACAUUCCGAAAGGAAUGCUAAUACCGAAUGGCGUGUAGGGGAGGCAUCUUCCCUACAUGAAAGAUGGCCUCUAUAUAUAAGCUAUCACUGAUCGAUGGGUCUGCGUCUGAUUAGCUAGUAGGUAAGGUAGCGGCUUACCUAGGCGACGAUCAGUAGCCGGUCUGAGAGGAUGAACGGCCACAUUGGGACUGAGACACGGCCCAGACUCCUACGGGAGGCAGCAGUGGGGAAUCUUCCGCAAUGGGCGCAAGCCUGACGGAGCAACGCCGCGUGAGUGAAGAAGGUCUUCGGAUCGUAAAGCUCUGUUGAAGGGGACGAACGUAUAUAGUGCGAAUAGUGCUGU